AUGUUGAAAUAUAUUGAAACAAAUAAUACCAAACCAAAUGAAUCAAAAACAAACAAAACACAAAUAGUACAAACAUCAAAUUCAUUAAUCCACAACAUCAAAUUAUUACAUAGUUUAGUAAUCCAUAACAUAAAAUUCAAUGCAAAUUGUUCAUCACAAGUGGCAACAAACACAGAGAUAAAACUAUUGGUCUUGUUGCCCACGGCAUGCUCACCACUCCUCGAUGAUAUAUUUUUGAAGAUCUUCGUGUGUAUCGGAAUCUCGAAUGUCAAGCUACACCUCAAGAAAGUGUCGGCUUCGCUCUUCCCAUUCUACAUGUCUGCAUCGGUUGUCUCAUGAGCUCAUAGAAGGCGUAAUCCAAAUAUUUGCCACACACUCAUUCUCAAUGAUCAUGUUGUGCAUGAUCAAGCCGGCUGUGAUGAUGUACCAAAGGAUAUCUUGAUACCAAAACCUAGUCGGUCCUCGCACAAUAGAAAAUUGGGCUUGCAAAAACUCAAAAGCCCUCUCCACAUCUUUCUUAGCAGCCGCUUGAGCAUUAUGGAAGUAGAGUUCUUUAUUACCUUGGGGGCUUGAAAUUGGUUUCGCAAAAGUAGCCCACUUCGGAUAUAUCCCAUCUGCAAGGUAGUAGCCCAUGUUGU
rnacentral:rRNA from 1 species